AAGUCCCCGUGUUUGUACACGGGAUUUUUUUUUAACAAAGCAAGUUUGAAAAAAAAAUUUAGUUAGUCUAGUUAUAACUGGCAAGUCGACCUUUUGGAAACUGUUGGAAAAUUUGUUUUUAUGCGGGCGAUUCCACGGCACGAGCUAACAUUCACCUAGGAUGUUGCGAUAAGGCCGAAUGUGACUUCCGUCGCGAUAAAACAGAGAUUAUUUCGAAUUGUUUAUGGUUUAUGAACGAUGGUGGUAGUAGUUUUUCACUACUUAUUUAUAGUGCGGUGAGAGAAGAUCGUGAGGAAACCUGCACAAUUUAAACAAUGAUUGUCAGAUAAGUAUGUUUCCUCUGAUGGUCACAGAGGUCAUAUUAAAGUCACUCAGAAUUACUUACUCAC